rnacentral:lncRNA from 1 species
CAAACCGGAAUCACUGGGGCCAUCCAGGAAUCACAGCAGCUCAUGAAGAAAUUCCACAUGAACAGGGCUGUUAAAAGCCAACCCGCCAGAAAGGGUAGAACGGAGGAAGGACAAGAGGGUUCUAACACCUCCUGGAGGCAGAGCACCCACGGAAGUUUCUCAACACUUCUCGUUGAUUCAAGUGGAACACCUUGAAGAGAGGCCCUUCUGUUUCCCUACACGGUGGACAGCAGAGCUCUGAAAAUUAGAUGCUUCCCCAAACCCAGACUCUCUUGGAACAUUCUUCCCAUGCGGGUGGUAUGAACUGCGUGGCACUGCUGUCCUCGCUGGCAUAUAUAGAUUUACACUCCACGCACGAGACUUCCAAGGCAACACCUAGGAUUUAGAGACUAUGUUCUCAGAGACGGGCAUGGAGGCAACGUCCUGGUUCUCAUGUGGUCAAGAAGGUAGAUGGAGAGAAACGUGUGCUAAGCAGCCCGGCCCUCCCCAGAGAAGCCACGGGCAGAGGCUCACCAACACCUGCCCCUCCCUCCAUGGUGUCGCCGGCUUUCAGAAUAAAGCCUUUUCUAGCA